rnacentral:rRNA from 1 species
UACGUAGGUGGCAAGCGUUGUCCGGAAUUAUUGGGCGUAAAGCGCGCGCAGGUGGUUUCUUAAGUCUGAUGUGAAAGCCCACGGCUCAACCGUGGAGGGUCAUUGGAAACUGGGGAACUUGAGUGCAGGAGAGAAGAGUGGAAUUCCACGUGUAGCGGUGAAAUGCGUAGAGAUGUGGAGGAACACCAGUGGCGAAGGCGACUCUUUGGCCUGUAACUGACACUGAGGCGCGAAAGCGUUGGGGAGCAAACAGGA